rnacentral:piRNA from 1 species
UGGGAAAUACCUCCGUAACUGUUGAAAAGU